ensembl:misc_RNA 7SK 7SK RNA
GGAUGUGAGGGUGAUCUGGCUGCAACAUCCAUCACCCCAUUGAUUGCCAGAGUUGAUUUGGCUGAUCUGACUGGCUAGACGGGUGUCCCCUUUCCCCCUCACAGUUUGCAAAGUCGGGAGCUUGAUCAGAAAAAGACCACCCCCUGCCAUAGAGGAGGAUGGUUUCCUCCAGCAAGGGUACAUGAGUAGCUUCACUCCUCUGCUAGGAUCUCCAAACAAGCUGUCAAAAGUUCAAGGCCAGCCUGCUCAACUUAGCAAGACCCUAUCUCAAAAUAAAAUCCACGGGGCUAAGGAUGUAGCUGCCUGGGUUU